rnacentral:lncRNA from 1 species
UGGAUUAUGUAUCAUUCUGUGUGCAUUCAUCUGUGUAUGCAUACACAUAGCUUGUGGUUGUCUGCGUGUCUGCCUCUGUAUAUGACAUAUACAAGCAUGCAUAGUGUAUCUGCCCACAGUUAAAGUAGGAAAUGCAAAUUCUUAUAUACCCCAAAUAUACAAAUCCUCUGUUGAGAGUAAAAUAAACCAAGCAGAUCACAAUAUAAAAAUACAACCAUGCUUGAAUAACUCUGGGUGUUCUGAGCUGGUUAUGGAUUGUUUGCAAAAUUUAGUUUUUGUGGAAAGUUUUUGCAGAUGAUGCCAAGUCAUUCACAAUCUGGAUGUAUACAUGAGAAGUGCCAAAUACUCAGUUCUGAUCUACACAUGCAAUUCUGUUUGUUUGUUUGAAUUUGAUUUUCUCUCUCUCAUUUCUCCUCCUCUAGCAAUCCUGGUCAAACUCACUCAGAGCAGGCUGAGAGGGGACAGAAUUGGUUGGCCAUUGGACGAAGCAAGCUGACGCGGGGAGACAACUACAGUGUUUGGGUGGAAGUUUUCAGUGCAGACUGGAAUGCAACCUCCAAGAAGUUAAACUUCAGCCUGGAUGAUAUAGUGAAGCCUCCUCCUCCUGUUCUGGAUCCUGUGGAACCAGAUUAUGGUGGGGCUCUAGUGACAUGGAAGAACCCCCACAUGUCUGAAUUUCACAUCCAUCAUGCUCUCACAUGUGCUCUUCGAUACAAGACAUCUACAGACCAGGAAUGGACCUAUGUGAGUUGUGUCUGUGAGCAAGUGACUGACUGAGAGCCUCCUUUGUGUGUCCGUCUCUCUUCCUGUCUCACAGCUGCUUUCUGGCUUACCUGGGGAAGUAGAACUAUCUGGCUACUUGAUUGCCGGGGCGUUCUCUGGAGCAGCCAUGUUUUAGAGGAAAUGUCCUUCUAUGGAUUGGGCAGAUGAUAGCCUCUCUGACUGUCUUUAAACAGGCCCAGAUAGAGCUGGAUGUUCCAGUGUGCCUUUAAAGGCAGGGGUGCCCAUGGUUUGUAAUUUCUUUUUUUAAAAAACAUUUUUAUUGCUGCUGUUGUUAUAAACAUUGUAUAGUGCUAUUUUAUUUAUAUUUUCUGUAUCAUUUUAUCUUGUAAACUGGUUUAAGGAGGCUUUUCCUUGGAAGUCAGGAUAAUUAACUGAAAACACAAAGGCUAUUUUAUACAUGAUACCAAUAAAGCAAGCAGAUUUAAGAAGUAUACUCA